UCAUCGGCCUCAGAUUGGUAGGACUACCCGCUGAACUUAAGCAUAUCAAUAAGCGGAGGAAAAGAAACUAACAAGGAUUCCCCUAGUAACGGCGAGUGAAGAGGGAAGAGCCCAAGAUUGAAAGCUGGCGUCUUCGACGUCCGCAUUGUAAUCUCAAGAAGUGUUUUCCGCUUCGGACCAAGCCUAAGUCCCCUGGAAAGGGGCAUCAUAGAGGGUGAUAAUCCCGUACAUGGCUUGGAGCGCCCGUAGCUUUGUGAUACACUUUCUAAGAGUCGAGUUGUUUGGGAAUGCAGCUCAAAAUGGGUGGUAAAUGCCAUCUAAGGCUAAAUAUUGGGGAGAGACCGAUAGCGAACAAGUACAGUGAUGGAAAGAUGAAAAGAACUUUGAAAAGAGAGUUAAACAGUACGUGAAAUUGCCAAAAGGGAAGGGUAGGAGGUCAGAGAUGCGGCCUGGGAUUCAGCCUUGCUUUUGCUUGGUGUUUUUCCCAGAUUGCAGGCCAACGUCGGUUUUGGGCACUGGAGAAUGGUGGAAGGAACGUGGCACCUCUCGGGGUGUGUUAUAGCCUUCUACUGGAUACAGCGACCGAGACCGAGGACAGCAGCGUACUCGCAAGAGCGGGCCUUCGGGCACCUUUACGCUUAGGGC
rnacentral:rRNA from 1 species